AGGGGCUUGGCUAAAAUAUUAUCAGAGUUUGCAACGGAAGGCGUAACUGAAAUAAUCAGUGUUUACAGCGGAAUGCAUAACUGAGAUACAUGUAUGAAGACAUGUAUCCUUUCUGAGCCUACUUUAAGUUCGACAAAAACUCCACUCAGCAACACUUCAUCGCCCAUCACAACUCAACCUGCACAAACAUAAACAUACGAAGGGCUGAGUACAAGAGUACUCAGUGGGCAGUGCCAAGCAUAUAACAUAAUAUCAACAACAAAACACAACUUCGCAUAAGAGGCAUAAGUUUCUUUCAAAUCCUUUGCUCAUUAAACAUUUCCAUAUUCAUAAACAGCAUGAGCGCAUUCUUCAUCAUUAACAAUCAUCAACACGCAUCGUGUCGUGGAGAAGGCCUUCCCCAACGAACACGGGCAUCGCGCCGUGAGAGGGGGCCUCCCGUCAGCGGUCACGGCAUCGUACUAUUGAGGGAGGCCUCCCCAACUAGACGCUGUAACACUGGCAUACUGGCAUACUGGCAUCGCGCCGCGAGAGAGGCCUCUCUCAGCGGACACGGGCAUCGCGCCGUGAGGAGGCCCUCUCAGCGGACACGGCAUCGUACUGUUGAGGGAGCCUCCCCCAACAGACGCAAGCAUCAAACAUAGCAUAAACUUCAGCGUAAAGCAUUCAAGCGUAAAUAGCGUAAUCAAGCGUAAAUUCAUAGGGCUAAAUAGUAUAAACAGCAUAGCAUAUAUCAUUUAGCGUGCAGCAUAAUAAAGCUUAACUCAUUUAAGCGUAAUAAAGCAUACCACACUUGAAGAUCCAAUUUGCAUUUUAAAGCAUAACACUUGCAUAACAUUUUAUUUACGCGUAAGAAAUUGCCCACCUGAUAGCAAAGUUUUGCUAAG
rnacentral:lncRNA from 1 species